rnacentral:lncRNA from 1 species
AUGACGCUGGACUCGUGUCUGAGUUUUGUCACACUCACUGAACAUGGGUGUGAUCAUUUGUCUUUUGCCCUCUACCUCCUGAAAGGGGCUGUUAGUCCACGUCCAAGAUACAGACCUCAAAACAGAGAGGUGAAGGCUAGUGUCCCGGCCCUGGGUUUCCUGCAACUGAAACAGCAUUCUCUGUCCCAGCACCUGAUCAGACACUGCCUCAUUUUCCCUGUGAAGUACUCGGGACAGAGUUGGUGCUCAGCAUAUCUGUCAAACAGGACUGGCCCAAGGAUGGGGUCCUCUGGCAUUUCUGGUAUUGACCUUGACUGUGGUCAAGGACAGCCCUCAGUGGAAGUUCACCUCUUACGCAUGAGGGUCUGUCCCCUCAGUUCACUUCAGUGACAAAGGAUCUCCAGUGACCUUGCCGGCCACACGCAUCCUCCUGGGCUCCUCCAGCAGUGUUAGAAGCAGCAUUAGUUAUAUUGCACAGAGGGGCUGAAGCUCAGCAGGCGGCCUCACAAAGCCGAAGUCGUUGAGGAGGAUGGCGGUGUGAGGGGCAGGGCGGGGACUCUGAGCACCAAGCGAGUCCGAGACCUCGGCAAGCACCUUCCGUUGGAAUCUUGAGACCACAAGAGGACGCCCUAGCUGGACGGUGGUCUUUAAUGUGGCUCUGUGUUACCUUUCCAGGGUCCCGAGAGCAGUGUCCUGUCUCCAUGAAGCUGACGUGAGAGCAUCCAGGUGAAAGGGCCU